AGCCCAUAGCUCAGUGGUAGAACAUCUGCUUUGCAUGCAGAACGACCCAGAAUUCAAUCUCUGAAAGCAGGGCUG